AAAAAAGUUAUUAUUGAGAAAUCUUUGAACAUCAAAUCAGUUCUUACCAAGUAGAUCACAAGAUCCACAUUAUCAAAUCAUUUCAACUCUACUAUGUGCAUCCAAAGAGACUAGAUUGUUUAUAUUAACUGAUACAUGGUGGAUAAGGGAACAAAUGAGAUAUUUUUUUUAUGAUUUAUGCUCCCUUUUAAGAAAGGGCAUGCGAAGUUCUCAUCCCACAUCGGUGGAAUGUACAAACGAGAGUAUGUAUAUAGACUCAAUGGAGUGACACAAUGG
rnacentral:lncRNA from 1 species